UCUACUUUGUUAGUCAUGUCCGGUCGCGGCAAGCAGGGCGGCAAGGCUCGCGCCAAGGCCAAGACGCGCUCCUCGCGGGCGGGUCUCCAGUUCCCGGUGGGCCGUGUGCACCGCCUUGCUGCGCAAAGGCAACUAUUCGGAGCGGGUCGGGGCCGGCGCGCCCGUGUACCUGGCGGCCGUGCUGGAGUACCUGACGGCCGAGAUCCUGGAGCUGGCGGGCAACGCGGCCCGCGACAACAAGAAGACGCGCAUCAUCCCGCGCCACCUGCAGCUGGCCAUCCGCAACGACGAGGAGCUCAACAAGCUGCUGGGCCGCGUGACCAUCGCGCAGGGUGGCGUCCUGCCCAACAUCCAGGCCGUGUUGCUGCCCAAAAAGACGGAGAGCCACCACAAGGCCAAGGGGAAGUAAAAUGCCGACCUUUCCUUGAAAUGGGUUUUUCCUAAUGAAGAGUUAACCUACCAACUUAAAAAGGCUCUUUUAAGAGCC